UACGUAGGGUGCAGGCGUUAAUCGGAAUUACUGGGCGUAAAGCGUGCGCAGGCGGUUUGCUAAGACAGGUGUGAAAUCCCCAGGCUCAACUUGGGAACUGCAUUUGUGACUGCAUAGCUAGAGUACGGUAGAGGGGGAUGGAAUUCCGCGUGUAGCAGUGAAAUGCGUAGAUAUGCGGAGGAACACCGAUGGCGAAGGCAAUCCCCUGGACCUGUACUGACGCUCAUGCACGAAAGCGUGGGGAGCAAACAGG
rnacentral:rRNA from 1 species